UGGGAGUGGGUGGUCGCCACACUGAGGCCAGACUGACUCUUACACAGGCCUCACCAUUCACGUCGCAACGCCCCCCCCCACCCACCCCUCCUGGCCCCCCUAGCCCUCGUCCGUAUCGCUGUAGAGAACUCCCACAACCCCCCUCCCCUCCCCCUCCAAAUAUAACCCCCCCCCCCCCCUCCCUCCACCCCUUACCCCUACCAAACCACCUCAAGGGUAUAUAGACUUUUUAAGACAUCCUCUAAAUUCUCCUCACUCUCCUUACAGUCCUCUUCUUCUCCAAACACACACACACACACACACACACACACACACACACUCUAGAGAGGAACAUCACCGACCUGUAACGGACAUGCCACACACAUAGAGAGCUUACACUUGAUUCUCUGUUUAACACGCUGCAAACACUCGAAACCACACACACACACACACACACACACACACACACUCUCACCCUUUAUCCUGUGUUUCUGCACUCGACUGAGUUACACCGAAAACACGAAAACAUCCCGCUGAGCAACCUCAUCUUCUGGACCGAGAUCCAGUCUGAUCUUUUUUAAUUAUUAUUAAUUUAUUCAUAAUUAUUAAGACCUCUGUUAGUGAUAACAUGAUUUUAUACCACCUCUAUUUAUAAUUCCUUCCACUGUUGUCAUCCUGCUCAUCUUACUUCAUAUUUAUGUGGAUAUCUGUUGUGUUUUUAUGUUUUGCACUGAUAGUUCAGCCCUCACUAAGACCUGUUGUCACAUGUGGAUGGUGUGAUGCACAAAUAUGAAGCCAGUAAACUUGCGCCUCUGCAUGGAUGUUACAUCAUGAAGUCUGUCUCUCCACUGUUCACUCGUAACCUUUUGGAAAACAAGCUGUCCAAUAGGUGAGAGGGAAACAAGCUCUCCAAUGGGUGAGAGGGAAACAAGCUGUCCAAUGGGUGAGAGGGAAACAAGCUGUCCAAUGGGUGAGAGGGAAACAAGCUGUCCAAUGGGUGAGAGGGAAACAAGCUGUCCAAUGGGUGAGAGGGAAACAAGCUGUCCAAUGGGUGAGAGGGAAACAAGCUGUCCAAUGGGUGAGAGGAUUCGUGGCUUACGAGAAAAGAAACCCAAGCCCCACAGGUACCAGCUGAGUCUGGCUGAACUCUGCCUCACGUCUGGCCCAGAUCUGGCCCAGACGCGCUCCUGCCUGAGGGCUCUUGGGGUGUUCAUGUGUGGGUAAAGCAGGCCCACCAGGGGCACAGAUGAGGCCGGGCACAGGGGCACAGAUGAGGGCCCAGGGUAUGGGAUAAAAUACUGUGUUGGAGAGGAGAGCUGGUUUGCCAUGUGCAAAUGGAAGGGGGCGGGGUCCUUGGGGAUCAUCUUGUCCCUGGGCCCGAGCAAGACACGCAGUGGGCCUGGGUUUAAGACACACAGUGGGCCUGGGUUUAAGACAUAGAGAAAAAAAAAAGUCCCCAGUUUUCAUUGUAGGGCUUUAUAGUUGAGAUAAACAUUGGCCAACAUUUCCAACUACGUGUGUGUGAAUGAUUUCAUCAUGCUUAGGCACAAUGAUAUAUAUUUUUUAUACAUUUCUUUUGGGGUGGGGGGCAUUACAACCAGUUUCCAAUCUAGAGAAUCAGAUAUUAAACUCAGAGGGUUUAAUGGCUGUUCCACAUACAGUGUUGCUAUCGAGCUCGUUGGGGUAGAGGGUCCUGUUCUAGAGCACAAGAAUUCCUGUUCCAGAACUCAGAAUUGGUGAAAUCCUUGAUUGAUGUGUUUGUAUGAACAGUAGCAAGGUAUUGUCAUUCCUCAUCUGUCAAUAUGGUGAACAAUUCUGAUCAUCUUCAUUUAUAGAAUGCUAGUUUCGUGCUGUUAGUUGGCUAAAUUCAAUUUACUGAGUGAUGCAUAUGAAAGUUGUCAAAGCACGUUGAGCUCAGACACUUUGUUGAGUUUCGUGUUAAGUAAGUGUCUAUUUGGUUGGUUGGAAUCAGGUUGGAUUGAAAGUUCCCUGAGUAUUUUUUUAAGAUGGUGACUGUGUUGCGUAAUCAGAUACACUCUUUUCCUCAGCUUUGUACUGUCCCGAGCUAUCAGGGUCGUGUCAUGUGUCGCAGACCUUAUGCAGUUGUAGACAAAAGCUAGCUUGUAACUGCAGAGACAAGCAGAGCAGUAUCCAUGUGAAAGCAAAGGCCUUGUAACAGGAGACACCACACCAGUGUUCUGUGAGUGAUGUGGUGGUGCUGUAUAAAUAUGUUAUCAGUGGGAUUUGGUUUGUUUUGUUCUUCAGACCUGUGAAAGUCCUCCUCUUUAUUCUUCUAGAACAGGGGUGGGUGGUGUUAGCCAUAAAGGAACAGGGGUGGGUGGUGUUAGCCAUAAAGGCCUGGUCUACCUCCUUUUUUAAAAGACAAACAUAUGACCAACAAUCUGCACACCUGAUUCCAAUCAUUUGAACUGAACACGUGUUCAGAUUCGCUUUACCCAGUGUCCGGUCACUGGGCAGACUGUUCAGAGUCCGAAAAUACCAAGUUGAUUUGAUGACGUCGUCUCGUCCUCUUGUUGAGAAUGAUGCCAGAUAAUGAGUUGGUCCUCACAUAGCCUUUGUCCUCGACUGCCACCUUCCAUUUGUGAAGCGUCCAUGUCACAACUGGGGAGCGUGUGUGGAGACUGUCCCCUCUACCUGAGUUGAUGGAUAGGUAUUGCUGACUUGGAUCAGAAUUCUCAUACAGUUUCAAAAUUCCCUUUUAAAUAGUAAAUGAUGACAGUUUUAGGUGAACAUCCUAUUUGGACACCCAGUGGUUGACACUGAGAUCUAGAGUUGAUCUAGAUUCUAGAACAUGCUUAGAAUGCCUGAAUGGCUACACUUCCUCAACCACAACCCCCUUCCAGCAUUCCAAAGUGCUCUCCAUGGUAACCACUCCAUGCAGACAAUCCAUGCAGCCUUCAGAUUAUGCAGAUCCAUUUAAAGACCAAACCAAUCCCCUCCCCUCCCACCCACCAAAUUCUCCUCUUUUAUGUCAGUCUUUGGCAUUUCAACAUUGCACAAAAUCACUCCACUAAUGCUGGCUACAAACACACAACCAAUGCCUGGUCACUGUAGCAGUGUUUCACAUGAUGCAGUACUGCAGCUAACCCUUGGCACAAGGAAGGUUGAAAUGAUAGUGAUGAACAUAACUGAACAUGGCAGUUAGUUUUAUUCCCCCCACGUAAGCAUAAUCAAGAACUCUAAAAGAGAUACAGCCAUGAUCUGGCUCUGAUCUGGCUCUGAUCUGGCCCUGAUCUGGCUCUGAUCUGGCUCUGAUCUGGCUCUGAUCUGGCCUUGAUCUGGCCUUGAUCUGGCUCUGAUCUGGCUCUGAUCUGGCUAUGAUGCGGCUCAGCACCUGUUGGCAGUCCUCUGGACUCUGGGUUGUGGGCUGUCAUGACAAAGAGGCAAACAAGAGAGGAGGGAGAGCAGGUCCAUGCGCUGGGCUUAAGAGGAGAGCAGGUCCAUGCGCUGGGCUUAAGAGGAGAGCAGGUCCAUGCGCUGGGCUUAGGAGGAGAGCAGGUCCAUGCGCUGGGCUUAGGAG